rnacentral:rRNA from 1 species
UACGAAGGGUGCAAGCGUUACUCGGAAUUACUGGGCGUAAAGCGUGCGUAGGUGGUUCGUUACGUCUGAUGUGAAAGCCCUGGGCUCAUCCUGGGAAUGGCAUUGGAUACUGGCGACCUAGAGUGCGGUAGAGGGGUGUGGAAUUCCCGGUGUAGCAGUGAAAUGCGUAGAUAUCGGGAGGAACAUCUGUGGCGAAGGCGACACCCUGGACCAGCACUGACACUGAGGCACGAAAGCGUGGGGAGCAAACAGG